rnacentral:rRNA from 1 species
ACGAACGCUGGCGGCGUGCUUAACCCAUGCAAGUCGAACGGAAAGGCCUGCUUUCCCUUGUGGAUUGCGGGUGCUCGAGUGGCGAACGGGUGAGUAACACGUGAGUGAUCUGCCCCCAACUUGGGUAUAAGCCUGGGAAACUGGGUCUAAUUCCCGAUAGGACUGCAGGGUGGUGCCUGUGGUGGAAAACGAUUUUCUAGUGGUUGGGGAUGAGCUCGCGGCCUAUCAGCUUGUUGGUGGGGUAAUGGCCUACCAAGGCGGCGACGGGUAGCCGGCCUGAGAGGGUGGACGGCCACAUUGGGACUGAGAUACGGCCCAGAAUCCUACGGGAGGCAGCAGUGGGGAAUAUUGCACAAUGGGCGGAAGCCUGAUGCAGCGACGCCGCGUGGGGGAUGACGGCCUUCGGGUUGUAAACUCCUUUCGACCGCGAGGAAGCCACCUGGUUGGAAGGGUGGUGACGGUAGUGGUAGAAGAAGCACCGGCUAACUACGUG